GUAAUAACCUUUAAUGAAAAAAAUAUGAAAACGAAUAUAUGUAUAUACAUGCAUGACUGGUACAUUAAGCUGUACACCAGGAAUUGACACAUUGUAACUGACUAUACUUCAAU